rnacentral:rRNA from 1 species
GACAGAGGGUGCAAACGUUGUUCGGAAUUACUGGGCGUAAAGCGCGUGUAGGCUGCCUCGAAAGUCAGGUGUGAAAUCCCUGGGCUCAACCCAGGAACUGCGUCCAAGACUGGGAGGCUUGAAUCCGGGAGAGGGAUGCGGAAUUCCAGGUGUAGCGGUGAAAUGCGUAGAUAUCUGGAGGAACACCGGUGGCGAAGGCGGCAUCCUGGACCGGUAUUGACACUGAGGCGCGAAAGCCAGGGGAGCAAACGGG